rnacentral:rRNA from 1 species
UUGGCUCAGAACGAACGCUGGCGGCAGGCUUAACACAUGCAAGUCGAGCGCCCCGCAAGGGGAGCGGCAGACGGGUGAGUAACGCGUGGGAAUCUACCCAUCUCUACGGUAACAACUCCGGGAAACUGGAGCUAAUACCGUAUACCGUCCUUCGGGAGAAAGAUUUAUCGGAGAUGGAUGAGCCCGCGUUGGAUUAGCUAGUUGGUGGGGUAAUGGCCUACCAAGGCGACGAUCCAUAGCUGGUCUGAGAGGAUGAUCAGCCACAUUGGGACUGAGACACGGCCCAAACUCCUACGGAGGCAGCAGUGGGA